rnacentral:rRNA from 1 species
UACGUAGGGUGCAAGCGUUAAUCGGAAUUACUGGGCGUAAAGCGUGCGCAGGCGGUUUUUUAAGCCAGAUGUGAAAUCCCCGAGCUUAACUUGGGAACUGCAUUUGGGACUGGAAGGCUAGAGUACGGCAGAGGGGGGCGGAAUUCCACGUGUAGCAGUGGAAAUGCGUAGAGAUGUGGAGGAACACCGAUGGCGGAAGGCAACCCCCUGGGCCUGUACUGACGCCUCAUGCACGAAAGCGUGGGGAGCAACAGG